rnacentral:rRNA from 1 species
CAGCGCCACGAGUGGCGAUCCGCAUUAUUUGGCCUAAAGCGUCCAUAGCUGGUCAUGUAAAUCUCUUGUGAAAUCGUUUGGCUUAACCAAACGGCGUGCAGGAGCGACUGCAUGACUAGGGACCGGGAGGCGUUAGAGGUAUACUUAGGGGAGCGGUAAAAUGCUAUAAUCCUAAGUAGACCACCUGUGGCGAAGGCGUCUAACGAGAACGGGUCCGACAGUGAGGGACGAAAGCCAGGGGAGCAAACCGGAUUAGAUACCCGAGUAGUCC